AGUCUGAAUUAUGGUUUAGUUCUCAUGGUAUUCAAUGUUGUUCGAGGCUAGGAUCUUAAUAUUUGGACAUUGAGGAGUUAGUUCAUGAAUUGGUUUGAUGAUAUCAUGGUUUAGUGGUGUAUGCCCUUAGUGACUGAUUAAUUAAUCUUAAUGGAUUAGAGAAUCGAAUUGUGAUUUUGGUUGAAUAUUCUUGUGCCUAAGCUCUAGGUGAUGAUUUUAUUUUCCGAUGUAUGUUUAAUUUUCGGGGACGAAAAUUCUUAU